AUGCCUCGUGGAAGCUGAAGCCGCAGCCGCACCUCCCGCAUGGCCCCUCCAGCCAGCCAGGCCCCUCAGAUGAGAGCUGCGCCCAGGCCAGCACCAGCUGCUCAGCCACCAGCAGCGGCACCCCCCUCUGCAGUUGGCUCUCCUGCUGCUGUGCCCCGGCAGCCAGGUCUGCUGGCCCGGGUAGCAACGACUGGGCCACGCCAUUACUGGGGGCUUCAGUGGAGGAAGUGAUCCUGAGCCGGAGAGGCCUGACAUCACUUACCAGGAGGCUCAGGGGACCAAGCUGGCACAGCAGCAGCAGUCUUGCUUCUAUGAGAUCAAACAGCUUUUGGAGUAUGCCCAUAACCAGGGUGACAUCAAGCUCUGUGAGGGUUUCAGUGAGGUGCUGAAACAGUGUCGACUUGCAAACGGAUUGGCCUAAUCAAGAAGUUCAACCUGGAGAAAUGGAAAACCAGCUCUCAUAACCAAGUUAAUUUAAUAUAAAAUUUUAAUUAAUAGUGAAGGUAUAAAGUAUAGCCAUCAGUUAAGCCUCUCCUGUCAUUCCUAGCUUCAUUGCUUCAGGAUUGAAAUGGAACGGGGUGUUCCUACUCUGUAGAAUUUGGAGCUGGUCAAAUGUUUGUGUGGCCUCCUUAAACUAGCUGUUAUGAUUUUAUUCUUUGUGAGUUAAUUAGAAUAAAGCGAUUUUCUUCCAAGAAAAAAAAUACAAAAAA